rnacentral:rRNA from 1 species
AACGUAGGACGCAAACGUUAUCCGGAAUUACUGGGCGUAAAGGGCGCGCAGGCGGAUCGAUAAGUGAGGCAUGAAAGCUUCGGGCUAAACCUGGAGAGGGUGUCUGAGACUGUCGAUCUGGAGUGCGAUAGAGGGGUGUAGAAUUCCGCGUGUAGUGGUGAAAUGCGUAGAGAUGCGGAGGAAUACCAGAGGCGAAGGCGGCACCCUGGAUCGUAACUGACGCUGAGGCGCGAAAGCAUGGGGAGCGAACGGG